CCUUAAGAUGGGGAUAGCUGCUAGAAAUAGCAGGUAAUACCGAAUACACUCAGUGCUUCAUAAGGGGUAUUGAGGAAAGGAAGCUACGGCUUCGCUUGAGGAUGAGCUUGCGUCCCAUUAGCUAGUUGGUGAGGUAAAGGCCCACCAAGGCGACGAUGGGUAUCCGGCCUGAGAGGGUGAUCGGACACAUUG
rnacentral:rRNA from 1 species